ACGCGCCUUUAAAAAACCCCCAAAUCUUCAACACUUUCCAUUCUUUUGUCAAUUUCGACUCCAUCACGAAAUAGUUUCACUGUGUGUAUCUGUGUGCAAAAAUGUGGCGCCAAACCAAAAACGACGUCGAAUCGGGGACGAGUGAGCCUCUUUACCCCAUGAUGUUGGAGGCGCCGGAGCUCCGGUGGGCCUUUAUCCGUAAAAUCUACUCCGUCGUCGCUAUUCAGUUGAUUCUCACCGUCGUUGUAGCCGCCGUCGUCGUCUCUUUCCGGCCAAUCUCUGCUUUCUUCACCACGACUAGUGCCGGAUUAUUUCUAUACAUACUUCUCAUUUUCACUCCUUUUGUCGUGUUGUGUCCGUUAUCAUAUUAUUAUCAGCGACAUCCGGUGAACUUGAUAUUACUUGGAGUGUUCACGUUUGCUCUCUCGUUUUCCAUCGGUCUGACUUGUGCUUAUACCAGCGGAAAGGUUAUCUUGGAAGCUGUUAUUUUAACAGCCGUAGUUGUCGUGAGCCUUACUUUGUACACUUUUUGGGCGGUAAAGAGGGGUCAAGACUUCAAUUUCUUAGGUCCCUUCCUCUUUGGUUCCAUUAUUGUGCUGAUGGUGUUUGGCUUUAUUCAGAUAUUCUUUCCCCUCGGGAGAACUUCAGAGAUGAUUUAUGGCUGUCUAGCAUCAGUUAUUUUUUGCGGAUACAUUGUCUAUGAUACAGAUAACUUAAUUAAGCGCUACAGUUAUGAUGAGUACAUCUGGGCUUCAGUUUCUCUGUAUUUGGACAUCAUCAACCUCUUUCUUUCGCUUCUCACCAUAUUUAGAGCUGUUGAUAACUAGAGGCAGCUGUUAUAGUCUUUCUUUGACUUCUAUAUUGGAGAACAAAGAAAAUGGGCGUAAUGAUCAUGACAUACUAAAAGAAGGAUCUCCAUUGCUAAUGGGGCAUGUACAAUUAUUCAAUGGCAGCCAAUGAGGGGGACACACGUAAACCAAGUGGAGUAAAGAAAAGUGUGCUAGAUGACAAGCUACGGCCAUUCCCAUUGAUCUCCAACAGAAUAUGUAAGAACUUUAAAUAUAUACUGUCCACCAGAGAUCUAUGGAAAGGGAAGCAACACACACAUAAUGGAGUGAAAUUGCAUUUUAUUUCAUUAUUUUAUUUAAUUAUUGUGAAAUGCAGAGCUCUUUUGUCACAACUUCUUUUGAAUACGAUUCCCACUUGCACCGGCCAGUGGAAGAGAGUGAGAACAGACAAGCAGUAUAUAUUAUCAAUAUCUAUCUUUGUAGCUGUACUCCUAUAGUACGAGUGAUUCUAUGUCAGAUUA